GAUGAACGCUGGCGGCGUGCUUAACACAUGCAAGUCGAACGAAGCACCUUGAUUUGAUUCUUCGGAUGAAGAUCUUGGUGACUGAGUGGCGGACGGGUGAGUAACGCGUGGGUAACCUGCCUCAUACAGGGGGAUAACAGUUAGAAAUGACUGCUAAUACCGCAUAAGACCACAGCACCGCAUGGUGCAGGGGUAAAAACUCCGGUGGUAUGAGAUGGACCCGCGUCUGAUUAGGUAGUGGGUGGGGUAACGGCCUACCAAGCCGACGAUCAGUAGCCGACCUGAGAGGGUGACCGGCCAUAUUGGGACAGAGACACGGCCCAAACUCCUACGGGAGGCAGCAGUGGGGAAUAUUGCACAAUGGGGGAAACCCUGAUGCAGCGACGCCGCGUGAGCGAUGAAGUAUUUCGGUAUGUAAAGCUCUAUCAGCAGGGAAGAAAAUGACGGUACCUGACUGAGAAGCACCGGCUAAAUACGUGCCAGCCGCCGCCGUAA
rnacentral:rRNA from 1 species